CAGGAGCCACCCUCUUCAAAGAAGACGUCAUAUUGUGUGGAAGACACAAGAGUUCAUACAGGAUGACUUCAAAGGAAACUCAGCCAAAUUCCAUGAAAUUGUGGACGGGGGUAGGCCAUGACCCAAAGAAGAAUACUGAGCUGUGGAGUGGAUCCAAUUGAGGCUGUGGAGAUUGAAAGGGACACACUUCA